rnacentral:rRNA from 1 species
GACGCUGGCGGCGUGCCUAAUACAUGCAAGUCGAACGGCUUUUCUAUGGAAGCUUGCUUCCACUGAGAAGAUAGUGGCGAACGGGUGAGUAACACGUGGGUAACCUGCCCAUAAGAGGGGGGAUAACAUCCGGAAACGGGUGCUAAUACCGCAUAGUUUUCUUGAUCGCAUGAUCGGGAAAGGAAAGACGGCCUUUGUGCUGUCGCUUAUGGAUGGACCCGCGGCGUAUUAGUUAGUUGGUGAGGUAACGGCUCACCAAGACGAUGAUACGUAGCCGACCUGAGAGGGUGAUCGGCCACAUUGGGACUGAGACACGGCCCAAACUCCUACGGGAGGCAGCAGUAGGGAAUCUUCCGCAAUGGACGAAAGUCUGACGGAGCAACGCCGCGUGAGUGAAAGAAGGUUUUCGGAUCGUAAAACUCUGUUGUCAGAGAAGAACAAGUUGGAGAGUAACUGCUCCAGCCUUGACGGUAUCUGACCAGAAAGCCACGGCUAACUACGUGCCAGCCGCCGC